AUAAUUAUUACUUAUCUCUUGCAGCAAUUUUUUUUAAUUUUAAAUCAGUUUUUUCAACAAUUUUUUUAAUUAGAGAAAUACUUAUCUUUUACAUAUUUUUUUACAAUAAAAGUCAUUUUUUUUUAAAUAUUAAACUUUUUCCAAUAAUUUUUUAAUUCUAUAAAAUUCAGAAAUUCCAUAAUAAUAUGUAAUUAAAUUAAAUUGCAAAUACAAUUUUCUCUUUUUUUAAAAACAAUAUAGAUAAUUAUAAAUUAUAACAGGAAAUAAAAAAUUUAUUUAAGCAAUACAUCCUCAUUAAUUUGAUUUCUUCUUAUAAAUCUGUCUUCUCGCAAUUCGGUAUCAUAAUUCGUGUAACUACUUUAACUAGACAAUUAAUGUAGCAUAUUAGGAAAUUGUAUCAAUGAAUUGUGAUUGCCGAUUAUUAGUGUCUACAAAUGUGGAUAGAGAAACUAGGAAGGCAAUUGUUUCAUUCAUAACUCGAAGAAACUUGAUCGAAAUUAAUCAGAUUCCGAAGCAGGAACUGGAUUGUUUCGCUGAAACAAAUAAUAGAGUUCGAUGGACAGUUUAUUCCGGUCAGACUCAGAAGUGCAACAGAACUGUCUGUGAUUUUAAUAAAGCACGUACCAGAUGCGAGUAUUAGUGGACAGAAUACGUAUAUGAAUUCAAGUGGAUGCCACUAGUUUAAUCGUGAAAUGUGGCCUGCGUUGUCGAGCUACAUUCAACGUGGCCAGUACAUUUUAUUGGCUAGCUACGCCAAUUCUAAUGCAGUUCUUCUCGUAAAAAUGUAGCGACGUAUACGGUCUUUUAUUCGACAUACAUUAUUCCAUUAGCUUAUUCAGUUUUCUGUUAAUGUAAAUGAUAGCUAGAUUGGACAAGAGUUUUAUUAUGGUUUGAAGUUGUUGAAAUGGCGCCUUAACUUUUAUAUCGUGUAUGUAAUAAAAUAAACAAAUAUAAAUAAAAAUAUAAAAAUAAAGAAUAUAAUUAUAUAUUUCCAAUUUUCUGUUAAGUAAAUAAAUAAAUUAAAAAUAUCUUACAUGGCUUACGGUUAAUUUCGAAGUUAUUGAAAUGAUAUUGAACUUUAAUUUUUACUUAUAUUAUUAUUGCACGUAUAAUAGAAUAAAUAUAAAAUUUAGAAAUUGUAUUGUAAUUGUAAAUUUAAAAAUUAUAAUAUUAAAUAUUAUUUAUUUCUAAACUUUA